rnacentral:rRNA from 1 species
AAGUGGCGAAAGGGGCAGUAAUACAUGGAUAACCUACCCUGGGGUUGGGCAUAGCCGUUCUAACGAGCGGGUAAUUCCCAGCGAGUCGGCGAGUUGGCAUCAAUUUGCCGGGAAAGAAUUUCGCCUCGGGAGGGGUCCAUGCGAUAUCAGCUAGUUGGUGGGGUAACGGCCCACCAAGGCUUAGACGUCUAGCGGGUGUGAGAGCACGACCCGCGCCACUGGCACUGAGACACUGGCCAGACACCUACGGGUGGCUGCAGUCGAAGAUCUUCGUCAAUGGGCGCAAGCCUGAACGAGCGAUGCCGCGUGAGCGAUGAAGGCCUUCGGGUUGUAAAGCUCAAAAGGGGUGAGAAAGGGCAACUUGAUCGAACCCCAGUAAGCUCGGGCUAAGUUCGUGCCAGCAGCCGCGGUAAGACGAACCGAGCGAACGUUGUUCGGAAUCACUGGGCUUAAAGGGCGCGUAGGCGGAUUCUCAAGUCCGGGGUGAAAUCCUCCAGCUCAACUGGAGAACUGCCUCGGAUACUGGGUGUCUCGAGGGUGGUAGGGGUAUGCGGAACUAUCGGUGGAGCGGUGAAAUGCGUUGAUAUCGAUAGGAACUCCGGUGGCGAAGGCGGCAUACUGGACCACAUC